rnacentral:ncRNA from 2 species
AACCGCCACUGGGGGAGCCUGAAGAAAGGCUGAGACGUGCAUAUGCUGCGCGGACCCUUCGAACCUGAUCCGGAUCAUACCGGCGUAGGGAAGUGGGCCGAUCCGCUU